rnacentral:lncRNA from 1 species
UGUGGAGCCCCUUCAUCUUAUUUUACUUUCAAUAACAAAUUGAAAAAGGCAUAGUCUGGAGAUAGCCAUAGGAAAAAAAAAAAAACCUCUUGGAUUCAAAAGCAAAGAUUACAGAGAAAGAAGGAAAACAUACCAGUUCAGCAAACUAUGUUUAGACAUCAUCCAGGUGUGUGUGCCUGCAGUGGCUGAGAAAAAGGGACACUAGAAGAAAGAUGUGGCACAAGAACAAAAUAUUCAUCUGCAAAACAACCGCUGGAAACAGACUGGAGUUUGAUACCUGUGGGACAGUAUGGCUGCAUUGUAAUUAAAAUUCUGACAGAUGACAAUGCUCACUCUGUCUAGAAAUCUGACUCAACCAAUUAAAAAUAAUUGUGAUAGCUUCAUUAAAGAAUUAUAAUAACUUCUUCAACCACUAAUUCUGUGAUGUGCUGGUAAAUCUUUAACAAUCAACUCUCUCAUAAAACAUAA